GACGAACGCUGGCGGCGUGCUUAACACAUGCAAGUCGAACGGUAAGGCCCUUCGGGGUACACGAGUGGCGAACGGGUGAGUAACACGUGGGUGAUCUGCCCUGCACUUCGGGAUAAGCCUGGGAAACUGGGUCUAAUACCGGAUAGGACUCCUGCCUGCAUGGGUGGGGGUGGAAAGCUUUUGUGGUGUGGGAUGGGCCCGCGGCCUAUCAGCUUGUUGGUGGGGUGAUGGCCUACCAAGGCGACGACGGGUAGCCGGCCUGAGAGGGUGACCGGCCACACUGGGACUGAGAUACGGCCCAGAUUCCUACGGGAGGCAGCAGUGGGGAAUAUUGCACAAUGGGCGCAAGCUUGAUGCAGCGACGCCGCGUGAGGGAUGACGGCCUUCGGGUUGUAAACCUCUUUCAGCACAGACGAAGCGCAAGUGACGGUAUGUGCAGAAGAAGGACCGGCCGACUACGUGCCAGCAGCCGCCGUAA
rnacentral:rRNA from 1 species